GGCAAGGUGGCCGAGCGGUCUAAGGCGCCAGGUUCAGGAUCACCUGAAUUAGCAAUCUUUACAGAUUUCCUGGUCUCAGAAAUGGGGCGCGAGUUCGAAUCUCGCCCUUGUCA